rnacentral:lncRNA from 1 species
CAUCACAGAGCAGUGCGCAGGAGUGGUGGAUGGCGCACACCUGGCACCUCCUGUGUUUAUAUUCCAGUGUUCGCGUGUAAUGUGAAGUAAUCUGCAUUCCUUUGACGGUGAACAGCGAGCUUGAGAAUCGGAGAGGCAGGGCAGGACGAGUGGACGGCUGGAUGUCACAAAAACAUAACGACGCUAUGAAAUGUGGAGGCAACCGGACAUUACGAACAGCCAGGUGAACAAAACGCACAAAAUCGCACCUUUCUGCCCGGGCCUGAUCACUGCUAAAGGUGUCCUGAGCCCCGCCAGCCCCGUGACGAGAGCAAAGUGGUCUUUCUCCUAGCGGACCUUGCUCACCUCCGGACAGCGACCUUGGCGUGGAUGAUAGAAAUGAA